CAGCGAUGAAAGUUUAGAAAAACGCUACGAAGUGCUAAAAGCCAAAAUGAAUCUAUAUGAUACUUCCGAAGAAAUUCAUUGUGAUUCAAUAAAACGAAGUAAAGGUUCUUUUCAAGAAAACUUAAGUUUAGAUAAUUGUGCCUCGCUGGACAUACCAAGUUUUAAAGACCAUCAAUCUUGUCCUCCCCUGAAAGAAAUAAUUGUUACUAAACUGAAGCAGAAAUAUGAUUAUAAUCUACAACUAGACGAGAU